GCUAACUGGUGAACAUGAAGACUGAAACAACUCAUAGAAUGUGUGCUGUUGUUGCAGAAGCUUCUUCUUUCGUAAUUAACGAGACCGGAGUUUAAUAACAUCACUACAUUU